UUGAUAAAUACUUACGCAGGCAUGGAU
rnacentral:sRNA from 1 species